CCCAGAGGUAUUUAUUGGUGAAUAUCCGGCGGCGACGUCGGAACCAUUUACUGGAUUACACCGACCUACGCGGAUGCGUAGGUUUUUUUU
rfam:Leminorella grimontii ATCC 33999 = DSM 5078 strain ATCC 33999 GLGR.assembly.06, whole genome shotgun sequence.